UACGAAGGGGGCUAGUGUUGUUCGGAAUUACUGGGCGUAAAGCGCACGUAGGCGGGCGAUUAAGUCAGGGGUGAAAUCCCGGAGCUCAACUCCGGAACUGCCUUUGAUACUGGUCGUCUAGAGAUCGGAAGAGGUGAGUGGAAUUCCCAGUGUAGAGGUGAAAUUCGUAGAUAUUGGGAAGAACACCAGUGGCGAAGGCGGCGCUCUGGACCGAGACUGACGCUGAGGCGCGAAAGCGUGGGGAGCAAACAGG
rnacentral:rRNA from 1 species